rnacentral:rRNA from 1 species
UGGGGAAUUUUGGACAAUGGGCGAAAGCCUGAUCCAGCAAUGCCGCGUGUGUGAAGAAGGCCUUCGGGUUGUAAAGCACUUUUGUCCGGAAAGAAAUCCUUGGCUCUAAUACAGUCGGGGGAUGACGGUACCGGAAGAAUAAGCACCGGCUAACUACGUGCCAGCAGCCGCGGUAAUACGUAGGGUGCAAGCGUUAAUCGGAAUUACUGGGCGUAAAGCGUGCGCAGGCGGUUUGCUAAGACCGAUGUGAAAUCCCCGGGCUCAACCUGGGAACUGCAUUGGUGACUGGCAGGCUAGAGUAUGGCAGAGGGGGGUAGAAUUCCACGUGUAGCAGUGAAAUGCGUAGAGAUGUGGAGGAAUACCGAUGGCGAAGGCAGCCCCCUGGGCCAAUACUGACGCUCAUGCACGAAAGCGUGGGGGAGCAAACAGGAUUAGAUACCCUGGUAGUCCACGCCCUAAACGAUGUCAACUAGUUGUUGGGGAUUCAUUUCCUUAGUAACGUAGCUAACGCGUGAAGUUGACCGCCUGGGGAGUACGGUCGCAAGAUUAAAACUCAAAAUGAAUUGACGGGGUCAUAGCUGUUUCC